GAUGAACGCUGGCGGCGUGCCUAAUACAUGCAAGUCGAGCGACCACACAAUGAGCUUGUUCCUCUGCCGUUAGCGACGGACGGGCGAGUAAGAAGUAGAUAACCUUCUUCUAUGACUGGGGUAAUUUCGGGGAAACAGUGCCACUACUGGCUCAUAUGUCCAACGGCAUGGAUCAAUAGUGCAAGACGGCUUUGCCGACACAUUUAGAUGGAUCCGCGCCGCAUUAGCUAGUUGGUAAGGUAACGGCAUACCAAGGCAACGAUGCGUAGCUGACCUGAGAGGGUGAUCAGCCACACUGGAACUGAGACACGGUCCAGACUCCUACGGGAGGCAGCAGUGGGGAAUCUUCCGCAAUGGGCGAAAGCCUGACGCAGCAACGCCGCGUGGGUGAUGAAGGUCUUCGGGUUGUAAAGCUCUUUUGUUAGGAAAGAACAAAUGUGUAUGAAACUAUGCACGUCUUGACGGUACCUAAACAGAAAGCCACGGCUAACUUCGUG
rnacentral:rRNA from 1 species